rnacentral:rRNA from 1 species
GAUGAACGCUGGCGGCGUGCCUAAUACAUGCAAGUCGAGCGAACGGACGAGAAGCUUGCUUCUCUGAUGUUAGCGGCGGACGGGUGAGUAACACGUGGCUAACCUACCUAUAAGACUGGGAUAACUUAGGGAAACCGGAGAUAAUACCGGAUAAUAUUUUGAACCGCAUGGUUCAAAAGUGAAAGACGGUCUUGCUGUCACUUAUAGAUGGAUCCGCGCUGCAUUAGCUAGUUGGUAAGGUAGCGGCUUACCAAGGCAACGAUGCAUAGCCGACCUGAGAGGGUGAGCGGCCACACUGGAACUGAGACACGGUCCAGACUCCUACGGGAGGCAGCAGUAGGGAAUCUUCCGCAAUGGGCGAAAGCCUGACCCAGCAACGCCGCGUGAGUGAUGAAGGUCUUCGGAUCGUAAAACUCUGUUAUUAGGGAAGAACAUAUGUGUAAGUAACUGUGCACGUCUUGACGGUACCUAAUCAGAAAGCCACGGCUAACUACGUG